rnacentral:rRNA from 1 species
AUACGGAGGGUGCAAGCGUUACUCGGAAUCACUGGGCGUAAAGCGCGCGCAGGCGGCUAUUUAAGUUGGAUGUGAAAGCCUACGGCUCAACCGUAGAACUGCAUCCAAAACUAUUUAGCUAGAGGGUGGGAGAGGAAGAUGGAAUUAGUUGUGUAGGGGUAAAAUCCGUAGAGAUAACUAGGAAUACCAAAAGCGAAGGCAAUCUUCUGGAACACUACUGACGCUGAGGCGCGAAAGCGUGGGGAGCAAACAGGAUUAGAAACCCUAGUAGUCC